CCUACGGGAGGCAGCAGUGGGGAAUCUUGCGCAAUGGGCGAAAGCCUGACGCAGCCAUGCCGCGUGAAUAAUGAAGGUCUUAGGAUUGUAAAAUUCUUUCACCGAGGACGAUAAUGACGGUACUCGGAGAAGAAGCCCCGGCUAACUUCGUGCCAGCAGCCGCGGUAAUACGAAGGGGGCUAGCGUUGCUCGGAAUUACUGGGCGUAAAGGGAGCGUAGGCGGAUAGUUUAGUCAGAGGUGAAAGCCCAGGGCUCAACCUUGGAAUUGCCUUUGAUACUGGCUAUCUUGAGUACGGAAGAGGUAUGUGGAACUCCGAGUGUAGAGGUGAAAUUCGUAGAUAUUCGGAAGAACACCAGUGGCGAAGGCGACAUACUGGUCCGUUACUGACGCUGAGGCUCGAAAGCGUGGGGAGCAAACAGGAUUAGAUACCCUGGUAGUCCACGCUGUAAACGAUGAGUGCUAGUUGUCGGCAUGCAUGCAUGUCGGUGACGCAGCUACGACAUAAGACACUCCGCCGUCGGGAGGUACGGUCGCGAAGAAGUUAAACUAACGAAGAAGUAGACGGACGUGAGACGUAGCCGAACGGACGACGACGAGGGAGGAGG
rnacentral:rRNA from 1 species